CCUACGGGAGGCAGCAGUGAGGAAUAUUGGACAAUGGGCGCAAGCCUGAUCCAGCCAUGCCGCGUGCAGGAAGAAGCAUCUAUGGUGUGUAAACUGCUUUUGUACGGGAAGAAACACUCCUUCGUGAAGGAGCUUGACGGUACCGUAAGAAUAAGGAUCGGCUAACUCCGUGCCAGCAGCCGCGGUAAUACGGAGGAUCCAAGCGUUAUCCGGAAUCAUUGGGUUUAAAGGGUCCGUAGGCGGUUUAAUAAGUCAGUGGUGAAAUCUGGUCGCUUAACGAUCAAACGGCCAUUGAUACUGUUAGACUUGAAUUAUUUGGAAGUAACUAGAAUAUGUAGUGUAGCGGUGAAAUGCUUAGAUAUUACAUGGAAUACCAAUUGCGAAGGCAGGUUACUACAAAUGGAUUGACGCUGAUGGACGAAAGCGUGGGGAGCGAACAGGAUUAGAUACCCUGGUAGUCCACGCCGUAAACGAUGGAUACUAGCUGUUGGGAGUAAUCUCAGUGGCUAAGCGAAAGUGAUAAGUAUCCCACCUGGGGAGUACGAACGCAAGUUUGAAACUCAAAGAUAGUACGGACGUGAGAGUAGCGACGAGACACAGGGAGGUUAGG
rnacentral:rRNA from 1 species